AACAAGUUAAUAAACUAAAACUUUCAACAACGGAUCUCUUGGUUCUGGCAUCGAUGAAGAACGCAGCGAAAUGCGAUAAGUAAUGUGAAUUGCAGAAUUCAGUGAAUCAUCGAAUCUUUGAACGCACAUUGCGCCCCUUGGUAUUCCGGGGGGCAUGC
rnacentral:rRNA from 4 species